GCUUAAUUUGCAACUAUAGGUACUGGUAAUGCUCCAAAUGGAACAUUAUUAGUUAAGGGGAAGCCGGUUUGAAUCCGGCACGGUCCCGCCACUGUAAUUCAGUCUUGUAUAAGUCUGAAGAGUCAGGAUACCUGCCUAUGGUGCCGAUACAAC
rnacentral:ncRNA from 2 species